rnacentral:rRNA from 1 species
GACGGAGGAUGCAAGUGUUAUCCGGAAUCACUGGGCGUAAAGCGUCUGUAGGUGGUUUAAAAAGUCCACUGUUAAAAAUUGAAGCUUAACUUCAAAGAUGCCGUGGAAACUUUUAAACUUUAGAGUAUGAUAGGGGUAGAGGGAAUUUCCAGUGGAGCGGUGAAAUGCGUAGAUAUUGGAAAGACCACCAAUGGCGAAGGCACUCUACUGGGCCAUUACUGACACUGAGAGACGAAAGCUAGGGGAGCGAAUGGG